GAGGUAAACAAUCGAUCCGCAGGCGGUUUAGCCAAAGAUCGUGUAGCGCCGCUAGCUGGCCUAGCUAGGUAGAAGUUGAUUUUGUCGUAAAAUUACACUUUAUUUCGGCGCAACGUCAAGAUAUGGUGUGUCAAAUAUAUGAAAGGACCUUCGGUAUCAACCUGGUUGAGAGUGACAUGUUGGUAGCAGGCAGAUCAACAUGAGUGACAUGUUUAAAGAAGCAAUGGUGUUCAGCUUCAAGAUGAGUAUUGCAGUAUAAAAACUGAGAAAGUGGAUAACAACACAGAAUACCAGUUGCUGGCUGUUUGCUACAGUAAACUUAUCUGCAUGUCUCCUGACCAUGUGUGCAACCACAAUGAUGUAAUCAGCAUGAAUAUUCAUUAGAAUAUACUUCAAACUGCAAAAAUCAGAAAACUGCUGGAAUGACACCACAGCAAGACCAACUUCUGGAGAGCAUAUAUAUCUUUUAGCGGGGCCAAGGGUGGUGGGUGGCGCGUAGGUUUCAACGCAGGCGAUCGCCUAACAUAGGCGAUUGCUCCCGUUUGGAUCCUCCCAACUGUCUUAAUGCGGGAAAUGCUGACGAAAUUUUCAAAAAAAGUUUCGUGAAGAUUUAUGUCAUUGUACAGUAUGUGUCUUUGGAAAUACAGUACGCUACAAUAGUACAAAUGAGUUGUAGUACAAAGAA